rnacentral:rRNA from 1 species
UACAGAGGUCUCAAGCGUUUGUUCGGAUUCAUUGGGCGUAAAGGGUGCGUAGGCGGCGCGGUAAGUCGGGUGUGAAAUCUUGGAGCUUAACUCCGAAACUGCAUUCGAUACUGCCGUGCUUGAGGACUGGAGAGGAGACUGGAAUUUACGGUGUAGCGGUGAAAUGCGUAGAUAUCGUAAGGAAGACCAGUGGCGAAGGCGGGUCUCUGGACAGUUCCUGACGUGAGGCACGAAGGUCAGGGGGAGCAAACGGG